rnacentral:lncRNA from 1 species
GGGGGAAAGUCAAGUAAAGUACAACAACGUUGGGGUGGGACGCUAGUACUUAAACUAGGGUUGCUUUGGCGCGCUAAUCUUACGUUUUUCAGCAGGCUGUUAGUUGUAGCGCGCUAGCGCGCCUUCCCUCCUUCUCUCACUUCGGAAAGAUUUUUCAGUAUUUUCUUAUGAUGACCUGGUCGAGAGAGUACGAAACAUCGGUGUAAAAGAUUGAGUGGGAUCAGUGAGGUUGGUUAUAGUAAGGCCUGGCCUAAAGUGCGCGGCUUACGAAAAGGUAAGCGGUUAGGUUGACUUUGCCCCCAUUUUUGCCUUUUUCUGAAUCGGAAGAUCAUCCAAUUUUUUUUCUCCGCGGGAUCUCUCUUUCCCAGCCACUAAGGUUCCGUUCGGUCCUCUUCCCCACCUUGAGGACCAAAGGUUGAAGAAGGGUUUUGACUAGUGCAUUUUCUCACUGAUUCCACUGGUUCUCGAUUGCUGUACACAACCACAUCCCGGUGAGGCUAGAGAAACUGGAGCUCCUAGGGAAGAAGCACUAUGGAAAGAAGGGCGUCGAAAGGCACGCACCUCGAAGGCGGACUUGUACUUGUAGCGUCAGCAUCAUCCCGAAACUCAUGAUGUAGCAGCCAUUUUUACAAGGCUACACCACCUGACCGGGGGGCUGUUGUUUGCUCACCACUGGGAGAUGGAACCAUAUCCAAUCAAUGGGGCUUCUUUGUUCAAUCUCUUGAGGUCGAAGAAAGGAUUGACGGCCUGUUGAUCAAGGAAAGCCAAAAUUCAGUCUUGCUUCUCUAGCUUGGGUUGUCUUCCCGGAUCCCUGCUUCUGGUUCUGGUUGUGGAUCUGCUUCUCCAGUGACGGGCGAGAGAACACUGCGAACAGUGCACAUCUCGUCUUAUCCACUUCUUCAUCUUCAGGAAAGACUCGCGUUAAAGCAGCUUGCUAAGAGUGGAAAGGAAGAGAGAGAAAUCCCCCUUUUUUAGGGGUCUAGAGGAAGAAGAAGCAAUUGCGCAACAAGCCCCGUGACCGGGAUAGGGAUAGGAAAGAGUGUGAUUGGUUGGGGGUGUCGUUCUACGCUCUCGUCACCCUUAUCCUGUCCUUGACCUAUCUAUUUUGCCUAGCGAGCGUACAGCGUACGUACGUACAUAGGCUCAUUCGCUGAGUUGUCAACGAAGAGUGAGAGUAGUGCAAUGCCACCAGUCAACAAUCAAUCAGGUACUGCUGGCUGGGUCAAAAACCGUUCAAUGCUUCUACUGUUCCCUGGUAUCCACGUUGUGAACUCCGUAAUAAGUCCUUAUGAAGUAUUUUUUUCCAGACAGGAGAUCCCGAAAAGGUUGGUUCUGCUUUCUUUUGUUUUUUUUUGCAUCCCAAUCAGUAUUUCUCUCCAAAGCCCGCUCUCCUCUGGUUUCAAUCUCCAUAACAGCUUGGCAGAUAGUGCUUUGUUUGCCCAUGUUUCGAAUGGAAAGGCCGCUUUUUGUCACUUUAUUUUUACCGAUUAGCGAAAAUGGGUUCUUUUCCCGCCCCCCGACCAAAAACACUUUUUGAUCAUUCUGCUCAGCCAAAGUCUUUGGAAUAGACAGGAUCGAGGCUCUAUAGAUUACCAUGGCCGAAAGUUUGGAUUUCAUGAGGGACACUAUGCCGGCCAAGGUCAGCCAUUGAUUUGCCCAUCCAUUCUUCCGGAUCCAAAGUACAGAGCAAUGGAAAUUCAGGGCCUUUGAUUUAUUUUCUCUCAAUAUAGGAAAAUUUCCAAGGUGCCGAGUCCCCAAUCUGAUAAGGUUCCUUGCAACUCUUCUUCGAAUUGGCAUCGGGGGGAAGUCUAUUUGACAUUUCUGCGGAUUGUUACGUGCAUAAGCGAGGCGCCAGAGGCUGUCGAGAAUAGAGAUAUAGCUUCUUUGAAGCGCCUCCCUUUCCUGCUACUUGUGCUUGCUUACUGGACUGGCUUGGCGGGCUCCGGAAAGAAGAUCUUCUUUUCUGAACUGCUUCGUUCUCGGCCUGGCUGGACUGCCUCCUCCAUAACAGGUACUGGUGCCGCUACCUAUGCUGCUGAUACUAAGCUGGGAUCUGCUUCUCGGUCGGAACUAGUGCUGCUCGACCUUACUUCUUUUUGCAAUACAGAAAAUCCAUUCAAAGGCAAAAGGAAAGCUUACCUAUAAAUGCGGAAUUCUCUCUUUAAGGCUAAGGCUUCACUUCAAGCAAGCAAUUGUUCUCUUCCACCGACACAGGGAUAAAGAAAGACUGGUUCCCCCUUUCGAACUAGAAAAUCCUCUUUCCCCUAUAACCCCCUUUCACUCAAAUAAUGAAGUUCCGAGAACAACCUCCUUUAGAGUCAUCUUAGCUUGAUGUGCCGGAUGUUCCCUUACUUAGUAGGACGGGUCGGUCUAUCUUCCAAUGUUUAGGACCGACCAAACCAAUGGAUAUGUUUGGGAUAAUGAGGAACUGAACCAGCAGAGAUUAGAAUAGAAUGCCUGAGCUUAUGUCUUUCGGGGCUUGGUCUGACUUCUUCGCCAGCUGGCUCGCAUUCCAGUGUGGAAGUCGAAUGAAAAGCAAUUUCAAUCUUUCUUAUUAAUUACCCCUCCGGGGGCCCCGGUUGAAGCACACAUUGGAACAUCAGUACCGGCAUUAUAACAAGUUUCACCAGCUAAUCUCCAAUCCCCAUAAUUGGCGAAGCAAGCAGAGUCACAGGCGAAGGUAGGCGAAUCAUGCUCUGAAGGUAAGACAAACCUGUCAUGAAGCACAAGGAGAAUUCGGUGGGCUUAAGGAGCUGCAUUAAUCUUUCUAGUGAUGUGAAAUGCGUUCUUUCUUAUACCGGUCACAGUCGGUCUAGCCGCACCGGGACUUAACCAGAAGGGAGAAUGACAUCCGUCUAGCUGUAGCUAGGAAUCCGGCUGAAACCACCAACAUCUGAGUUGAGCAGAAUCGCUUUCUUCCAAUUAACCAUUGUAUGCCAAAGCAAAGGAGUUCCUCUUAUGGGAUCGAAAGUACUAUAAAAAUGGAGGAGGCCGGAUGGAAGACUCAAUUAUGGGAACGAAAGGAUCAAGCGAGAGGAAUAGACACGUAAGAAAUACGCCACGCCAGUAGGAAGACUGCAGCUUUGAUAGACUGAUCGAUCGAAUAGAGAUAGCUUAGGUAAAAUAUGUUGGUAGGCCCUUGGUUGCAAAGAAGAAGAGCCCCUAUGAAGAGAACUCACGCUUGACACCCCGUUCUUAUGCCGUGUAAAGCGCAUUUUCAGAAGAGUGAUUGGCUUGCAGCCAUAGUGUGCACCUAGAAGUGACUUCUUCAUCUUGUCUUGAGUAAGAAGCUGGCCUUGGUUGAAUAAGCAGCCGGCCCUAUAGUAACGGGAAUAGUAGAAAGGGAAAGAACCAUUUCGAAAGCUGCGACUUGCCACUAAAAAGAAGCCAAAAGCAAAAGCUCUCCGGGCACACAUGGGCAGAUACUAUUUAGUAGAACUUUAAGCGUACCUUGCGCUUCUUCCCGCUUUGGAACUUUUUUCUUUUAAGUCCAAUCCUAGUGGCAAUAGAAAACAUUCAUCGGGAUUGACUGCCCUGCUUUCUUCUGCCUCCGUUUGUUCCUUCAGAGAAGACCGACUUCUGCUGCUGCCCGACCCCGUAGUUGAGCAUGCCUUCCCGACUCGCUUGACUCACGGCACAAGAGGAUGAAUUGAAAGAAAGAGCUAAAGCUCCCAUUGGAAAGCACUGCUGGAAGAACAGAGGCCGACUCAACAAUAGGAAUUUCUUAGCCCGCCAAUCAACGUUAUUGUUCAUGCUUCUUUUUGAAGGAGAGAGAAGCCUGUAACUCCUAAGCCUUCUUAAUGAAGCUGAAAGAAAAGUUGCAGGUUGAGCAGCACCAGUUCCGAACCCGAACAGUAGCAGUUCCAAUAGGAAAAACAAUCACAAGCAGCAGUCCUGAUUACCAUUCAUAUAGGACGGGACGGUUGACCUUCUUUCAGUCCUUCUUCAAAAGAUUCGUUCGUGCAAGCAAGCCGCCUGAUUGUGUUCGGUUAAUGACUGCUUUCUUUCUUAGCAUUUGUUUGAGCGAGAGACAAAAUCCCCGACAAACAUCUUUCCGGUCAUAGCAAAGCAUCAGUCAAAGAUGUAAGGCAGAAAGAUGAUAGUUGAGUAUAGCUUGCGUCCCUAACAGAUGUAAGGCAGUUAGAAAAGAUCUCCCUUUUGGCAGUUCAGCCACUAGUAAAAAAUGCUAUCUCGGUAUCGGUAAGCUCUUUCCUGGCUGAGACGGAACAAAUACCAUACCAUACCCAACAGCGAACCAAGAAGGGAAUGAAAAUGUGGGGCUAGCUUCACAAUCGGCCACAGGAGAGAAGUCCUGAGGGGCAUACCAUCUCAUUGGUUUCUGAGCUUUCUCAUAAGAACAACUGAGAAAUCCUUCACUGCCACAACUCUUGAUGAGCCUGCUCUCGUCACCUAGCUAGUCUAAGCACAUUCUGUGAAAGAGCUGUUCUAUAGAAGCAAUCAAUACCAAUUUCUGGAGAUGCCCUACUCCUUCUCAUCCUAUCAGUCCAUAGGGAGACUUCCCUUCCCCAAACCAGACCUAGACUUGAUCCAUAACCCUUGGGCUUUGAUGAAACUGUCUGGCAUGGUUCUUGAUCCUGAUCCUAGCUUUCACUCUUUGGGCUUCUAGUCUUGGAUGCCGAUAGGAGGUGAAGCUCUGACCAAGGAUGUGUAUCCAGUUCUUUUUUGUGAGCCUUAUUCCUCUAGGCCAAUCACAAGCAGAGGUACCAAAACUCUGAAUACAGCCCCUUUUCUAGGAGACCUCCUCUGCCUGCUAGAAUGAGCUGUAUGAGUAGUAUCAUAACCUUAUGGUUGUUCGUUCCUCUCCUCUGAGCCGCAAGCCAAGGUCCAGUCCCUGUUAUCAACCAGUUCUUCUGGUUGUUCCCGGUAAAUCAUAGAAUAGAAGAAGAAUAGUGAAAUCAUAGAGGAAGGUAUUCAAUAAGGUAUGAACAUUCAUUAGUGAAUUCCACUCCCUUUCUUUUUUGAAGUCUUUGACAUAGAAAAUCGGCAUUGGGUUUGUGUUUAGCUGUGGCUUUGAUUCUCACAGGAAUAGCUGGUCUGAGAUUUUGAUGUUCCUGCUCUUAUGACUGCUUCAAAAACUUUGUACUUUAUGUAGUUCUCCCAGGCCUCUGAGCUUUUGGGCUUUCGAGAUAGGCACUUCGCUUCCUGGACUAUUUGAGGUUUUAGGAAGACGCUUCUAGGCUGAGGCUUUCGAAACUAGGCUUUCCAGGCUACUAACGGAAAGCGCCAUAGUGCUUCUUAACGUAGCGAGCCUACACAGGCGGGUGCUUUCGCUAUCUAUAUAGGAAUUCUACUUCCUGUUCGAGUCGUAAGAGGAGAAAAAACGUCGGUUUAACGGAAGCUGGUGUUAGGGUAGGGUUUAGAGUUUCCCUGUUUGAAAGACUAAGGAUGUAGGGAUAAAGAAGAGCCCUAGGGGAAGCAGGAGAUUGAGCUAGACCAGACCUUGAUACUCACCUUCGUCGGGAAGAUAUCGACUUUGAUAACAGCUUGAUCCAGAUCUAGCGCUGACCUUUGACGGGUGAUCUCCCCUUUCCAAAAUAGAGGACUUGGGAGAGUUUGAACGACUGAUUGAUCGAUAAAAUCCGGGGCUGAGGACCUAACUUGUUGAGCAAAGCCCAUCUUUUGAGACUACGUCUUUCAUCUUCAACCAGACUCUUUCGAGUCGAAAACCCUUCAUGAACCUUUCAUUUUUCGCCUACUUGUGACGAAACCCCAUAUUUUUGUCUUAACUUCUUUCUGUCUUCCUUCGGGCUGGAGAUAAAGCGGAGCUCAAAGCGAGGAGGGACUAAGGGCGAGUGACCACUUGCGGAAUAAUCACUUGAGAAAGCCAUUAACGGGCCUAAAGAACCCAAAUCUUGAUCCGAGAGAGGAGAGAUCAAUCCUAAAAGCUGAACCACAUUCACAGUAGGAUUGAUUAGUGUCGUGAAAGAGGGAAGAGAAAGAGCGAAAACUCACUGAAAGAGUUGCUCAAGUCCAGAAGAAUAUCAAGUAUUUUAAGAGAAGAAGUUAUUCAUUAUGGUUCCAGGCCGUGUUUGCGAUCUAUUCGGUCAGUGCUCUCGGUGCCAGCUAGUCUUCUAUCGGGGCUCUUGCUUUCGGCUAGUGUUCUCUUGCUCUGGAUAGUCUUAUUAGGUCUAAACUCCUUGACUUUCAGGAAGUACUCCCUCGCUCGGUUUAAUGAAUGUAGGUAGAAAGAGCUUCGGGCUGGACCUGGCCCCCCAAAAAAACUGGGGAAGAUCGACCAAUCCUCGCAUUAUCAUCGGCCUUUGCUCUUGCUGCUCUUCCUGACCUGACCUUUCCUGUACAAAAGAGGAAAUCUCCUAAAGUCAAGCCAGAGAAAUUUCGAAUCCAGGCCACAGGGAGAGCAGUACAGUAAGUUCUUCUAUGUGGGCGACUAAAGAAGGGCCGCAGCUCUCAAAGAAGCCUUGUACAUAGUGUACAUAGUAGGGGUGUCUCACUGUCGACGUUUUCGAUUUCGGGCCAAAGACGAAAGAAAUCAACGAGAAGAGUCUGCCUCUCAGUCUGUCUAAAAUUCCUACGUGGAUAGUAGGAAGAGAGGAAUAAGAUUAAUGAAAAGGAUGCAUCGAGGUUCGAAGGAGUUGUCCUCCUGUAUGCAUAACAAGAUCUCUCUUACCAUGUCUCAUCCAUACGUGGUUUAAGUUGUUAACUCUAUAGAAAUAAAAGAAGCUAUAGAGCCAUAACAUUUGCCUUCAUUGCUUCGGUGUACGGUUGACAUCGAUAAGGGAAUGCGUCCUUGGCUUGUACUUUUUAGUUGGGCCCAAUGGUCUAACUUAUGGUUGCCAUGACCUUGAUCCGAAUAGGGGUCGAAAUCCAUAGUUGCACCAAGAACCGUAGCACCAAUCCUACAAUAUGGUUGCAGCCAGAGGAUGGGCCGAAGCACCAAGUAGGAGAGGUCAGAGUAGUGGUCGCCGACUGAAAGAGAUUCGAGGUUGGGGCAGGAUAGUCUACGUGACGAAGAAGUGAGGAAGAAAGAAUCAAGAGAAAUGGGUUUAGCACGGACUUAUUAGGCCAAAUAUAGAUGUUGAAGAAGAUUAAGACGCAAAGCACAGGCAAUGGGCCCGCACCAGAGAAGAAGAAAAUGAAAUGUCUAGAAUCACAAAUUCUGUAUCCGAAAUAGACGACUAAAGGGGCCCAGUACGCAGGGUCGAGAUAAAAAGAACCUUCGACAUCGGGCUGGCUCUUUGAUCCUCGACAGACCAAAGCGAAUAGACCGUCCUCCUCCCUUGGUACAGCUAUAGCUGCCCUAACCCUUAGCCCUUUGCCUUGGCUGUUCGAAAGCCACACUAACAAGUGGAGGAGGGGGUUCAAAAGCAACUGUGACUCAUGCAGUAGACAAAGUAAUUUCGACUCAAAGAUAAAGGAAAUCCCAUUGAGUAGUUCCAUAUUGGGGAUAUCGGAAAAAUGAAAGAAAAAGGGCUUCUUUGAGCAGUUAGGUUAGGUGCGAAAGCCCAGUAUGGGGGUUGUGUACAGUGGAUGUUGGGGGGGUACCAUCUCGGUUCAAGUGAAUGCAUCUGAGUUAGCAAGCAGGUCGGGUACAAGAGAAAAAGAAUGUGAUCUUCAGGUUCUGAGUGAGCUGGGCAGUCAUUCUCCUACUCCUUUCUAUGUCUCCUCCUCUUAUGGAAAAUGGGAAGUCGGACUUAGAAUCUGCUUAUUCAAUCUCUUGUCCAGAUUAAUCUCUCACUCCACCAGGGCAGUUGGCUUUCGCGAAGCAAGAAGGAGUCAGUUCAUCAAUGCGCUACGCUAGUCAUCACCAUUGAGUGCUGGAGCAAGAAUUCUAUGAAAAGGGGAGUCAGAGUUUCAAAAAAGCCACUGAAAUCGAGUACAUUGAGAGAUCUUCGGAUUUUCGGUCUACAGGUCGCGCAUCAGUCCCAUAUGUUCCCAUCGAUACAAGAUUCGGAAAUGAUUUGUUGCAAUCUUUGACUGUGGAAGGAGAUCUGCACUAGGCUGAGAUUGGUCCUCUGUUUUCAGCAUCAAGGGAUAAGAGAGCACCUGUUGGAUAUGCAAACAAGAGAAUGGGCCAUACGGGUGCUUUAGAUUACCAUAACGAAGAUCUAAACUAUGCCAUCGAAAGAGAGCUUUCGUAGGUUACGUCAUUCUAAAAAUCAAGCGGGAAUGUAGACUAAGUGAUCCGUAGUUCCAUAACCACAUAGUGGAAAGAAGGUUCUUAGUGCUUUCCUUCGGUACGCAAAACCGGACCUUCGUCCAACAGUUAGUUCUAGCUAUGGGGAAUUUGAAUGAAAAGUGGUGCACCCGGCCUUGAGCACUCCCGUUCGAAGCCAACAGGAGCUGAAAGAUUUCAUUGACAGUGUAGUGGUGAUAGUCUCACCUUGGGCUAUGCUUUCAACUGAACCAAAAUAGGCAUAUCUGCGCUAAAAGUCCGUCAAGAAAACGAACUUGAUUGAGCUAUGUCAGCAGGGGAUUGCUCUGAUUCACUUUCUCUUACUCGUUCUAUGGAAAGGGAAUCCGGGUAGUCGUUUUCAAGCGUGACCAUCAAUCGGGUUAGAAAAGAAAAAGGUAUUUCUUAAACUGGAAAUGUGCUCUAUGCUUCAACCACCAUAUUCUCCCUUUUUCAAAUUGGAGUCAGCCUCUUACCCAUUCCUUUGAGGUUGGUGGAAAGUGUGAGAUCCGAAUCACUUUCUUAGUCUGCUUAUAUUCUUCUUGUUCGGAUGUGUCACCUACUUUACUUCAUUGGGAGAGUUCUAUCCCUCAACGGCGGCAAGCAAGGUCGGUUGAUUGAAUGAUUCGAAAAAUGAAAAGCAGUAGUACUUCACCUAGAGAGAGAAAGCCAAUAAGACCGUGCUAAGUAAGAGACGGAAAGCACUCACUGUGAUGAAUAGUUACGUACAGACUACACAGAGGCAACUAAUGGUCGUGUACCCAAGGUCAGAUGAUGACAUCAGUGCUUCCAAGCAUAGGUCAGAGAAGGAGAUCAAAUCAACACUGAGAUGGCCUCCUCCUCGGUCCGCUUCUGAGGAUCUCUAGUUGGCGGGGGCAGCUAACAAGGCCUACUUCUCAACCGGUUCACCAGAAGGGCUGCUUAUGGGAGCAAGGUCACUAAGGUGACUAAUCCAUCAUCAAAAUAGUAAAAGGCAGGAAAAGACUACAAUGCCACAAGCCAUGUACAACAGAGAAAAGAAAGUGCAUCUCACUACCAGUGCCGUCAAGAUGGGGUACAAGCACCUCUGGAACAGCAAGUUCAACUUCUGGAUGCUUAAACAACCACACCCUUUCCUGCGCCUCGCCUUCGUGGUAGGCCGUUCUCGGCUAAUGCCAUUUCGAGGGCUAAACGAGACGAGCCCCAGACGAGAAUCGCAGCUAAUCCUUAAUGCUCAUCAGAGCAGGGAUCUUCUUCAUGUGAGCGACAAUACCGUACACCAUCAUAUCCCUCCUAGAACGAGGAGGAGGAGGAGCAUCUUUCUUCGGUUUAACAGACUUGGGGGAAAGUUCUUCGGCAGGCUCGGCGUGAUCACGACUGGCUGACUUACCGAACGGACUACAUACACCGACUAGCCACUGAACGGACGGACACUUUGAUCUUGAUCGUGCAAUCUAAGUCGCAAUGAAGGACUAUCGUCAAUGCGGCUGGAGCCGCUAAAUCCCACAGCAAGUAUUCUCAGUCGGCGAAGGCUAGAUCCCAUGGUUGGAGUUUUACCUCUUUGAAGAAAGAGCGGACGUCACUCGUCUGUAUCACAUCGAGAAACAUCCUAUAUAAGUCAGAAAAGCAAAAUAGAGAAAAAAGUGGAGUUUUCAAGUCAAGCGAGAAAGCAAGUGGAUCAGAAAAUUAUCUCGUGCUGGUAGCGAGAAGGAAGUAGGCAGAUUGAGAGAUUCUUUCUUUCCAGGCUCCGAGGCAGAUGAAGAAAACCUAUCUCUUUCCGCUUAGGUGCCGUCAGAGAACUCGUUAGUCAGUAAAGCCCACGGCAGGUGCUGCUCUUAGUAAAGCAAGCAUUAGUAGUAUCGAGCUCGGUACUCGGUUGAGGGCUAGUCUUGUAUUUCGACGGUCUUUUAUUACUUUGAUUUUUUGAUUCAAAACUGAAAUUCGAGUUUUUAUUGAUUUGGUAAGAUAAGAAUGGUCUUCCUUAUUCUCAUGCUGUUCCUCAUCCCGCAUUUCCGAAGGGGGAUGUCCUUCACUGCUACAACACAAGCUAUAACUCCUUGUUUACCACUCAACCGAGGAAUCUUCUUAUUUGGGUAGAGGAAGAGGAAAGCUAUUAAGACGACUUUUAGCUACAAGCGUAAUUAAGCCAACCAGAUUGCGCAAACGCCUUAAAAACUAUAGUAGCAGCUAACUAAUAGAGAUGCUGCCGGAAGAAGCAGCAAGAGGAUGAAAAGCAAGGAGCGAAAGAGGGCCGAAAAGGAUCCUUAAUUCAAAAUGAAGGCACACUCGCAGGGAAAUGUGGUAGACCGCUAAGCAGACAAGAAGAAAUCCUUUCCACAUUAGCACUUGAGCUCAGAACAUUUUUUGGAGAAAAAAGACUCACAAGGCAUCUAAAAAAGAAAAGAAGUUUACCAGGUUAUCUAUGAAAAGGGCUUUCACUGGGCUUCUUCCUGAAGAUAUAUUAGGCCUUAAGACGAUCACAAUCACAACCUAUGGAGACAAAUAAACGAGGGCAAACAGAGAUAUGAAAGUAGAGAGCUAACCGGAAAAGACCCAUUGAAAGAAGGAAUUCGCGCUUAUCAUAAACUCCCAGUCGUGAACUUCCUUUACAAAACCAAGAAAGUAAACGAGAGGAAGGGGAGUCUUCAUUAUACAGGAUGGCGAAUCGAUAGACCUCUUCCCUAUUGUCGACAGAUAGGCUCGUACUUCUUUUCUUCUUCCUCUUGAAAGUUCUCUCUCUUCAUUGAUUGAUUUCGUUUCCAAUGAAAGAACUGAAAGAUAAAGAGAAGGUUCCCUCGGGGAAUCGAAGAAGGCACUGAAAGAGAUAGUGAAACUGGGGCAAGAAGAACUGAAGGUUCAAAAGAUUUAAUGAUUGCUGCUGGUAGCCGGUCUGCCGGUCGAUAAGCAGCAGCCACAUCCACCCUUCUCUUCUAAAUUUCCUAGUUUUCUAAAUCUCGAAGAUAAGCAAGGUGUCUAUCCGGGGAUUCAUUCCUAUUCGAGAACCGCUUCACCGAAAACAUGGGGCAAAAGCAGUCUUUGGCGGUCGAGGGGAACAGCCUUGGAAUUGGUCAUUUUUGAAUGACCUUUCCAAUCAAGAAGAAUAGUUCGCCUUUCCCUGUCUUUGAACUGUUUUCGAAUGCCUUGAAUUCCCAGAUGGGUGGAGGACUAGAGAAGUCGGAUGCCCGAAUAGAAUAUGAAAAUCAAAAGAAAUCUGUGUUGUUCGACUUUGAACCGAAACCGAUUCAAGAGCCCUUUUAUUUGAUAUGUUAUUAUUUUUUUUGCUCUUACUUUUAGCGAUUCCAUAUCAACUAAUGGAAUAAUAAUAAUAAUUUCAAUUAAAGGUUGAAGUAGUGCUUUUUUCUUAAAUUAGAUGAUGUUGUUCUACCUAUUUGUCUGCCGAGGAACGCAGUAGCUUUCUGGUUGAGUUGAGCGUAUGUCUUUGACAAGAUAUUUAUCCUCUGGUCUUAUUCCCGAACCAUCGGGUUGGUUGUCCCGCGCAGAUAUCUGUUGGGAUCUUUUGCAAACAUCGUCAUCUCAUAGAGAGGCUUUCCUCAAUUCCCUUCCCUUCAAAGUAGGCGAUAGGCGAUAGAUGGCAUUGGCUUAAAUGUGAUAUCAGUUAGAAGGCACUUGCUUAGCAGCUUUAGAAAAUGAGAGGCAAAAAUUGAUCAAUCUUUCUCGCCAGUUUGGGACUCUCCAUGCGUAUGGUGCGCUCGUCAAAAUAGGGAAAGGUCUUUUUUUAAUUACCCAAUGCGAUUGCACCAUUUUCGGGACCUCUGAUGUUGGAAAGGACUAUAUGUACAGCAUCACCUUCAGGUAUUGAAAAGGUCGCUCUUGAUGCAAGAUUCCUCCACCGAUGGAUGAAGUCAACAGUACUUUCUUUGAUCCCCGUAAAUGCCUCUGAGAAAGGUUAAUCAACUCGAUCAAGCACGGCGGACGAUCUGCUUGGUGCAACUACUUUAUGAUGAAUAAGUCCACCACAUCCUCAAACGUUCGGAUUGCAUGAAUGGGGAGAGAUAAGAACCAUCGUGCGGCGCCUCCGACUUCUGAAAAAGGUAGAUCAACAUCCCCUCCUACCUCCUCUACGUUCUUGACAGCCCAUCUUUGUCUCAGUAGAGUCUUUCAGUGGCAUGUUUCGGUCCUCUUUCCCAUUACUUAGAAAAAGUGAGCCACCGGUUCAGGUACAAGAUACUAUCAUUAUCGCCUGGACAAUUAGACAUCCAACCCGUAAUCGCAACGACCCAAUUGCAAGAGCGGAGCUCUACCAACUGAGCUAUAUCCCCCCGAGCCAAGUGAAGCAUGCAUGAAGGAGUCAGAUGCUUCUUCUAUUCUUUUACUUAGCGCAGCUGGGCCAUCCUGGACGUCGAACCAGAGACCUCGCCCGUGAAGUAAAUCAUCGCACCUACGGUCCAACCAAUUGGGAGAGAAUCAAUAGAUUCCUUUUCGGGAGCGAUUCAUCCUUCCCGAACGCAGCAUACAACUCUCCGUUGUACUGCGCUCUCCAAGUGUGCUUGUUCCCCUCCGUCUUCCUUACCAUGGCAAGUCUUUGUGAAAGAACUCCGAUGAGAAGAAAAAAGAAGGCGUUAAGAGAACCCUCCUGGCCCAACCCUAGACACUCUAAGAUCUUUUUUCAAAUCCAACCUGCUCCCAUUUCGAGUCAAGAGAUAGAUAAAUAAACACAUCCCAUUGCACUGAUCGGGGUCGUUCGUAGUGACUGAGGGGGUCGAAGACCAAGAAGUGAGUUAUUUAUCAGCCAAGCAUUCUUCUUAUGGCUAGAUCCAAUCUCCUGGUCCCUGCGGAAAGGAAAAAUAAUUUCAACUUCUUCUUUUCGGAAAGGGAGGAUUAGGAAAAUCCUAUUGAUUGCUGCUUUAUCCAGACCUCCGGGAAAAGCAUGAAAAAAAAAGCCUAAAAACUCAAGCAGGGAGAACUAAGCUAAGAAAUAAAGCAUUGAAAGACGUUCACCGAGUCCUUCUAUCAAGGGAAGAACUCGGCUUACUUACCAGGAAUGCACCCUAAGGGAAAGUUCCUGAGUUAGUCAAAAAAAAUCAAUGAAAGUACAAUCAAAUAAAACAAGAGCACUACACGCUCCCUACGCGCUCCCAUACAGCGAAAAGAAAGCGCAUUCCACACAACUUCCGAAAACUAUGUGUUCAGUGCGCCACACAUACGCGAUGAAUCAUUUGUGAUUUAUUGCUUUAGUAAUCACUAUUCGUUCGUUUCGAAUGGACUCAUUGCAGUAAAUUCUGAGGAUCGUAUCUGCAUCUUACACCACUUCCACUUCUGUUUUCCUUCCUAAAUGAGAGGAGGCUUGCUUCUGGCUUUAGAAUAACACCUUUCAAACCGAAUGAAUGAACCAGCGAAGAGUUAGGAUCGACGGGCUGGUCGAGCUAGCUCUAAUCGAACUGUGACAUCACGUAAAGUAAGUGUCACGCGAAUAUAGAGAAAAAGAUUCAAAAAGAGCGCCGUGCUAGAGUGCAGGCGCUUCAGCAACGGGAAAGACGUAGCUUUUGAAUCAACGAAGCACAAAGCUUAUUUAUGGUAAGGCGGCGGAGAAGUUUCAUUUCAUAUUUCAUAAGAGAAGCAAGGUCCACAGAAGGUUAGGAAGGAGUAUGCCCGGUUCACCAGGUUCUACCACUGCAGGGCCCAAUCAUAGUCAAAAUCUGAGUUUGAUCCUGGCUCAGAAGGAACGCUAGCUAUAUGCUUAACACAUGCAAGUCGGCAUUCGGGUUCCUUCUCCUCUGGCAUACGGGGAAGGCGCGGGACUCCACUUCCCGAGACUAAGCAUAGAGUAAGCUGCCUGCAGAGCAGAACGUCGAGAUUCUCGAGUAUGCCCUGGCAGUAGAGCUCGCUGAAUUCGAAAAAGAAAAAGGAUACUUCGAACCAUGUUACGAAGACAGGACGGAUGUGAUCUGAGUUCCUAUGGCGAGAAAUUUGGCCUCCUCGUGGUUAAGAAAUAUCAAGAAUUCUUUCCUUAGUACAGUACCCAACAUAUGGGAUCGCCUCUGUCGAGCAGAUCAGACCUACAGCAGCUGAAGCCUCCUGGGAUAUCUGUUUCCCGUUAAUCAAGAAGGGAAUGAAAUUUGCAAGGAUGGGGAAAGAUCUAUCAGAGGUGGAGAGAAAGAGAAAUUGGCUUACUGGGCGAUCUAAAACAUCUUCGAGCUUUCAUCAAUACAUCUUCACUUCUCAAAGGGAAACAUGCGUCACUCAAAGAGAGGCUCGAGAAAGUUAAUGCAGACAUCGUAGCCGUAGCCUCCUUUGACAAAGUGAGUAAGAAGAUAAAGUUCGAUCAUCUCUAGUAAGCCAGCCCCCGGUGGGAAUAAGAAAGCCAUUUUUUCGUGGGGAUAGGAAGUUCUAGCUUCCUCCCUGGGCGGGAGUGAGAAAGAUGCUGCUAUCUUAGCAACUGGAUCUGAGACUGCUGCAACAACUGAUGUAGUUUCUACUUCCGUGACUCUCUAUGCCACUGCCACUAUCUCUGUCCCUACCGCUGCAACCUUCGCUCCAGUUAUUGGAGUCAGUGCUGCUUCCAUUGCUUUAGCAAUAUAUGAAACAGGUACCAGAACCUCUCGAUUUCUAAAAGUGCCGGCUCGUUCUUCUAAUGGAUCGAAAGGUCAAACCAGGCUCCUUUUACGUACCUUUAUUUAUACCUAUAACGGGACACCACUAUUGGAGAGAAGCUCUAACCACCACUGGAUAUAGAACCGUUGCUGGUGGAACCGGAACAGCCCGAAGAUUCGAUCAUUUUUUGUAUAUAAAUUAUAGGGCCUGCCCGUAGAUGUCUAUCCCGUGGUGGCUAUAGAUUGUAUAUUCACUUUAUUUGGAUCUGAAAUGAGUUCUGCGACUAUAGGAUGGAUCUAAACCUGGAACUGGAAACCCUCCGAGGUGUGUAAGUGCUUAGGCAACGAAAAAGAAAUUGGAAGAAGGCACAGCUAGUGAACCAAUGACAAAGACUUUCUUUUCUCCCCAUCUCUCUCUGAUACUGAGGGCUCUUGAUCUGGCUCAUAUGUAGGGAAUGAAAAUAUGUGUCAAAUAUGCGCUGUAGCUAGGACCUUUGCGUUUCAAGGGGAGGGGAGCUCCCAUCUAUCUUAAGUCUCAAGGGCGUAUGCCUUUUUGGGAACUCCACGACGGUUGGGAAUAGCGUUAGGCCCAGCAGCAGCGGUUCUUAUUCCUCCGGACAGGCAACGUUAGGCAGCUAGUCCCAAGCAACUAAGUGUAAAGAGGACGAAGGAGAGGAUGGUCGUUUUUUCGAGCAGUAGACCUGCCCUAAGGAUAGGACUCUUUAGGAAGAGGGCUGCUACUGGCGAUCACUCAACCAAAUUUGCAAGCAGCCCAAAAGAUUUUUAGCACUCGGGCAGGCGCUCAGAAGUCUUUAUUGUUUGGCUAUCUUUUCGGGAAGGAUGAUGAGAAAUACGUAUAUCAUUUUUUAUAGACUCGGCCGGUUGACUCGAAUGAAAAAAGAAAUAGGAGGGUUAACUAGACAAAGACGAAUAAACGCACCAAAAUCUCGCUCAUGGCGGGGAUGAUUCACAUCCAAAAACGCUGGAAUGACGAGACUUCUUCCCCAGCGCUUAAAUGCAGCAAUAAUGGAACGCAUCGGCCGGGCACAGCUACGCAUGGAAGACGGUCAACUUUACUGAACUGAACAAAGUGGUUGUUUUCCUACAGGGGUUUGAAAUGCACCCCAAAAUAGUCAGGCGUGGGGAAUAUGAUAUCCACCCCGACUGUUUUAGGGAAGAGACGACUGUAUUGAUGAUAUCAUCUCUUCUAUCUCCCCUUCUUUAAUGGCAGAGGGCGAACCCUCUUCGUGCAACUCUUCCCGGGAAGUGAAUUGGCUUCUUCUCCUUUUUCAGAAGGACUGAGUGAGUGGUCCUUCCUCUUCAAGCUGUAACCACCACUUGUCCUCCAGAUCGAUUUCCAUCUCCUCGCUAAAAAGAACCUGGCAUCCGCAGGGAUGCGGCCUUGGUGAAUGAUUGGUCCAACGGCGGCUCCGGCGGUCUUGGAACAUAACAUAGAGAUCUGCCCAGUUGAUCUUCGGCUUAAAAAGAUCAAAUUCUUUUUCAUUCUUGGGGGCGCCCCAUCUUCUAAAAUCUUCUCUCAGAGUUGUUGUCACCGAUGGCUCUUUCAUCAGGUCAGCAGAGGAGCAUUGCAUGCUUGCUUGCGGUACCGUUGUCCCAUCCUUUCUUCUUCUUCGUCAUACAACGGAAAACACUUCGUCCAGUGCUCAGGCUUCUUCUUCGAGGUUUGGUCCUACUUCUUCUUUUUUUUUCUUACGAAAAAGGGAGGGGAGCCUUAACCCGAAUUCUAAACCGGCGUGGCACUGCCUUCUGAUCAAUAGAACAGGAAGAGGAUAAAAUAAAGACCACCAAAAGUCACGACCACCAAGAUACGCAUAGUGAUUCGAUCUUUUGAAAACCCAUUUUUUGAAAAAAACCAUUUUUGGGGGCUUACGCGUUACACACGGAAGAUUGGAUUGCCUGAAUCACGAGUCUUAUAUACAGUGUUACGAUCACCUCAUAUUGAUAAAAAGUCCAGAGAACAAUUUGAAAUGGAAAUCAAGAAAAAAUUUUUGGUCAUAAAAACGGAAACGCAUGAAUUGCGCAAGAAGUUCUUUCGGUUAAAACGCCGUGCGACUCGGAGGACAUAAGACUUUUUGGUCAGGCCCAAAAUCUUGCCGACUGGAUGCUCCUACCCCACCAUGCCUAGCCCUUUACCUUAAGAAGAGGAGAGGAGGUAUGAAGCGUGGGAAACUAUGCUAUAAGUGUAUGAUACAACAUGUUACCUUAAGGAGUGGCGGCAAAACUCUUAAUUGAUCAACGCGAGUGAACUGUGCUUAGACGCUUCGUAAAACCGCACCGCAUCUACGAGAGGAGCUGAUGGAUGAGUGGGCUUCCCCUUUCGAUUCACGGAAUGUGAUCUGGGACACGAUGGGAGUUAGCGUGCCUCGGUAGGCAAGAGAUCACCGGAGUAUAGCACAAGAUCGCCUUUUCUUGCUGCCAUGGGGUCAACCUGUGAACAAAGUAAACCCAAUGGGAUGGGAACCAAAAAACGGGAGGGUACCGCAUUGGGCAGAAGACGAUCCAAAAAGCGAAGGCUCACCCUUCAAAGUGCCGGGUGAGAUAGGCGACAGGUAGCUUGCUUCCAAGCCGGCCCGGCCGCGAGGAAUCAAGAGAUCUUUGCCGGUGCUGACUUGGAUCUCGGGUGACGGAAUAAGGCGGCCAGAAGCGACGAGCAGUCGCGGUCGAAGCUUGGCUCUAGCCGAUAGGCUAGCAGUAAGCUUGGCUACAGCGAAGCGCUUACCAAGCGCGAAGGAAAGGGCCUUCGCCACUUGAGCCGUAUGCGGGGGAACUCGCACGUGCGGUUCUUAGGGAGGGAGAACGUCGGUUGAGCCAUUCCAUCCCAAUAGCGUAUAUUUGGAGCUCAAUAUGAAAUCCGUCUUUCUUGCAAGACCCGUUCGGAUAAGGGCAAACUCCAGAGAUUGCUUCGAAGUAAGAUCCUUGCGUUGACCCUUUCCUCAACCAGAACCACAUUCUAUAUUGAUUGUCUCAUUAUUUUAGUUAUAUAUUUUUCAUAAAUGUCUUUUCUUACGCGCAGUGUCUGACUGUUCCCUGCUGUUGUGGCUUUCUCAUUCUUGUACUAGACCAACCUCUCGAUAUGCCCGAGAAAAAAGGAAGGUGGGAAAUCGACCAUUUCCCCGGGUGUCUUAGAACCCUCUCUAGGGCACCUCCGCAUUGCCAUGCUGCUGGGACGUACAAGUGCGAUUUUUGACCGAUUUUAUAGUAUUAUAGAAUGAGUUCUUUUUGGUAUUUCAAGUCUUUCUUUUAUUUGUCUUAUCCUGACUUCUUUAAAAAAAGUCAGUGAUUAGGGAAUAAGUAUAAGUAGUUCAUUACGGACAUCCCCCUCCCCCUCAAUGUCCGGGAUUCCUGUGCAUGCUCCCGAGGCAGGAGGGGCAAUCAAUAGGUCUGGGUCGUUCCCAAACCUCUAAGGGUGCAUUGGCCCCCCAAUCCAUUUACCGACAUAGCAACGGUCGAGUGCUUGGAAGGGAGAUCUCAGAAAAACCACGCCCGGUAAGGUCGGUUCAACUCCGCAUAGAUGUAUCGUAUCGACUCCUCCACCCGACGUCAAUCUCUCGGGAAUAGGGAGUUGUUACAGGUUUUUGGGGUUUCAGCCCCUAUCACGUAAGGCCCAGCUCCUGGACUGGCCCGCAAAGGGAAGGGCUUUGAAUGCCGAUUCCCACAUACAUACACCUCGAUUUUUAUACAGCUGGUCGGUCGUUACUAUUAUAUAUCCGGGGCGCGAGGAAAUAUCGGAAAAGCGGCUGGUCGUCUAACUUCACCAGUAGUAUCCCGGUUCUCGUCCCCGUCCACUAUUCGAUCGAGCAUGCAUUUAAGCCUAUUCCCCGCAGCCCUAUUGCAGGAAAGGCUCGAUGACUAAUCGCUUCAUUCUUUAGCCAAGCCCCAGCAAUUCCGGGUCGACCUAACGUUGAUACGUGGAUGAGAGCAGGACGACCAACUAUAUCGUUUUAGAAGUAGCGCUUGACUAGCCUGACUAGGGCUCAGACCCUACCCUAUUCUUCAACUUCGAGGUGGCGCUCCGCCCUAUCCAUGCAAAGCUCGGCAACAACCCUAUUUCUCUUUCAUUGCCUAGCUAACCAAUUCCGCUUUUCUGUCCCAUUGACAAUCGUCCACAGGUCCAGUUGCUCAAGCAAGAAUUCCAUCCUUGACUUCCAUUGUACAUGGCACCAUUCAACCUGUCCCCAACACUGAGUGUGGUCACUGACGUCAUUGGUACGACGGAUGUAGUCGCAGAGUAGACGGCUGACUUGCCUAAAAAAGAAAAAAUGGUUUUUGUGAUUCUCAUUUUUUUAUAGAUUCGGGUUUUAGCGGUUUCACCCAUGGAAUUAAAGAAAACUGCUCUGCUAUCCAGUCAGAGGCCAUCAGCCAUCCCGGCGUACUUUUUUUACGAGGAGCAAUCCGGAGGGCUACACGAGGACUAGGCAAUCAAGCUUUUCCAAACACAAUAGUCUCCUCAGUUUGGUAUUGCAAAGAUUCCAUCCUCGGUGUGACCAUAAAUAAAUAAAAAAAGAAAAAUGAAAAUAAAUAAAUAAGGAAGUACGUCGAUUCUGUUUGAAACAAAGACAGCAGGCAGGCAGACACGUCAAUGCAGGCACUCGUGAUUCCGGGGAAGGGAAGAAGCCACCCGGAUGCAUGCUCCUUACCUGUAUAGGCUUAGGGCUACCUUGCCUCCCGACUAGGAAGGAGAACAAGGUGUGGGGAGACACGAGUCAGCUGACAAGCAAUCAGAUCAUCCCCCUUCUCCUGGACCGGAAAAGAUGGGGUUACUUUACCCGGUUAAACUACUGAAGAUGUAAACUGAAAAGACGGGGCUGAUUGGCCCGAAGAUUGGAAUGACCCUAAAUGAGCUCCUUGGCUCAGGGAAGAUGAAGUAGGCUGAAAAAAGAGUUUUGACACAAAGGUGGGGCUCCUUGGCCCUUCCUGGAUGAAUUCCUUGGCUCGGAGUCGAAGCAAACUGAACGUCGAGAGGUGGGGGCUAUAAAGAUCCCAAUGAUUGAAGCGAUCCUAAGUGAGUAGACUGGAAAGAUGGUUGCUGAAGUGGGGCUCCUUGGCCCGGAGUUGAAGUAGAUUGAAAUUGAGCCACUUGGCUCGGGGAUGCUUGUUGAAGGGGGGCUCCUCGACCCGAAGAUGUAGCAGACUGGAAUUGAGUCAUUUGACUCGGAGAUGUUUGAUGAAACGGGGCUCCUUGGCCCAAAGAGAUGAUCGAAGGAGAGUGAGCCGCUGGGCUCGAUGACGCGGCAACAGUCAGUUGAGGAACGAUACCCGAGGAUGGGAUGGGGUUAGAGCUAGCUUCCCGGUCUAAUGGUUGGGAAGAAGAAGUUUUUCCUACAUGGAUGACAAGGGGAGGUCCAGUCCACGGGUGAACAGAUUGAGAGGAUCCCCCUUGGGAAUUGAAGUAGUUGACAGAUGAGGAUUCUUCAUCUCUAACCGCGGAUUUUGAGAAGUCCAUUCUAGAGCAAAUGGGCUUAUUGCUUACUCCCGGUUGAAAGAACAACCUCCUUUCAAUGAACACAUCUGGUUGGGAGAAGGAAGUUCCUAAGACAAUAGAGGGGUCGCGCCUAAUCGUCUUAGCUGGGUUAACCGGGGUUUCCUCAAGUCCCAAGAUCGUGUUUACCUGAUUACUACCUCCUCCUGAGCCCUUUGCUUCGUGAUUAGGAAGCGGAUUUGUGAAAAUCCCCAUAGACGGGUUUUGAGGAGGAGGAGCUUGGGCCUGAGCAUUCUGAUCAAAGUGAAGUUGUCCAGCCUUGACCAUGGAUUCGAUGACAUCUUGAAGAUUCCAACAUGAGUUGGUCUCAUGGCCAUAUGCUCGAUGAUAGGAGCAGAACGUCGGACAUAUUCACUUUGGUUAGAUCCUGAGGCCUUUGCUCAGGUAAAGUGAUCUUGCCUCCGGCUAAGAGUCAAUCAAGGAUUACUUCACAAGGAACAGGGAAGACUUUGUUUUCUCGAAGAGGCUUACGGGCAUUUGCAGCACCGUAGGCGAAGGGAAUUUGAGCAUCGAAGUUUCUUCUUUGCCCUUGCCCCUGGUUUUGGAAAGCUUGGUUACCUUGAGGCAGGGUGUAUUGAGGAAACAGGUUGGGAGGCUGAACUGGCAGCACUUGGGCAGGUUGGACAGGUGGAGGUAGAGCUGGUUGACUAGGAAGGGUUGCUAUAGGAUUAGGAGGAAGUGGAAGAGGUUGUUGGAGAGGAACUGAGAUUUGCAAGGGUACCUGGUUCUGGUUUGGGGAACGCUGGUAAUUCCCUCUCCUUCCAUUUCCCUGGGAAAUAGUGUUGAUUUGGUUGACACCACUAGACUUGAUGUCAGCCGUCUUCUUCUUUUGAGCACCUCCACUUUGGGAGGAGGGGGAAGAACCAUAACUCUUAGGAAACAUAGAACCAAAUAAUCCUUUCUUUAGAUUCCUCUCGAGUUGAGAGGCUCUUUCAUAAAGAUCAGGAUAGGUACUGUGACUGGGCGGAUAAGAGAUCGAAGUGGAUCUCUAAGAUUUUUGACCAGCAUCUGGACAGCUUGAGAUUCGGGUAGAGGGAUCUCGGUUUUGAUUAGAACCUCCCUAAAUCUACUGAAAAAGGCUUGAAAGUCCUCUUCAGGGCGUUGAGCUGUGUCCUGAAGAUCGGCGAUGGUUGGCUUCUUGCCAGUGAGAUAGGAGUACUGGUUGAGAAAGUUAGUGGCGAGAUCCUCGAAGGAUGUGAUGCUACCAACCGGGAGACUCCCGAACCACCUUGCGGCAUCUCCUUCAAAACUCUUCUGGAAGAGAAAAAUAAGGUUGUCCUUAUUAUCUCUCACCGGGAGAGUGUCGGAAAUGAAAAGUCGCAAGUGAUGGUGUGGGUCACCUUUCCCAUCAAACUUCGCAAACUUAGGUAUCUUGUACCAGGGUGGUAGACUUACAUUUGGACAAUGGCACAUAGCUGCCAGAGAACAUUUUUGAGUUGUAGCCGCUUGGGUGAACUCUAAGACCUGUCGCUCGAAAUCUUCCCGGGAAUUUCAGAUCCAAGGAUGAGAUGCAUUCCCGGUUGGAUGAGGAGGGGGGUUAGGGUUAACCCCAAAGGAGACUCUUUGGUCCAAGGGUUGGUCAUAGGGUCCUACAUUGGGUUGUGAAGGGUAGCCUGAGUUAGGCUGGAUAGAUAGACCAGGAACAUGGGAAGAAGGCUGAAGAUUUGCUAGACUAGGAUAACCCUGAUUGGGUUGAGAAAAAGAAUCGAUCGGGUAUAGAGGAGGCUCUUGUUGCCGAUAACCCAAGUUGGGUUGUGCCUGUUGACCCGGGCAGGGGGCGGAAGAGUCAAGUGUCAAUUGAGACAGCUGGACAUGGUUUGACCGACCGGUCAUGGGUGGAACAUGGCCUGCUUGACCCGAUGUCGAUGGCAUCUGGUCUUGGCCGGAUUGGAUUUCUUUAUGACUGACAUGGUCGGAUCUUGUCUCCCCACAAUCUCUUUCUGGUUGAGGAACCCACGUUUUCCGGUCUUAGCUUGACCGAUUCACUCAACUGAUACCACUAGCCUUGCAUUGUGUGGACUUCCCUUCCCCAAUCCAGAACUAGUCGACCUUUCAUCACAAAUUGAAGCAGAGGCAGUUGAAGAUCCAAUUGCAGAUCCCCUUUGUGGAAGCGGAACCAACUCCACGGAUAGCAUAUCCCUUUCUUUGUUUCAGUCGGGUACAAAGAUUACAGAGGAAAAGAAAAGUGGCUUCGUCAGUCAAUUGAGCUUCCGCCGGGCUCGCCCUUUUUUUUUCAGGUGAGGGAGCGGAAGCUGAGCUCGUCCUGUUCAGAGGUAGGAAGCGGGGAUGGGACAGUUUCCUUUAGUUGUUUGUUGUUCUGCUCAAAGGCGAAAUCAGACCUUCGUCAACCACUCAUCUAAUAGAGUCAGCAUGGGUCUCGGUUUUCCCGGGGACAGCUUUCUGGUACGGCUAUUGGCCUCUCUUCGUUGAACGGUGAUUCAAAGACAUAGAGUCUCUCCUUCAACAGCAAGGCAUUCACAAGGGUAUCCAUAAAAAAAAGGUAGGGAAACCAGCUAGCGCAAAGGAAGGGAGACGGGGUCAGAUGCAAUCAUGAAGGGAUCGGCCAGUUCAAAGAGAACAGAACGGUCAACUCAUCAAGCAAGCGCCGCUAUAGGGUGGAAAAGAGGAGGGAUAACAAGUCCAGAAAGGAAAGGAUAAGCCAAGCAAGAAGGCAAAGAGUGGUGCUGGGUUGAUAAGCCCUUAUUAGAUUAGGCGCCCCUCGCUCCUUCAUGAAUAAGGUUCAUCCGAGCAAGAUGAACUUUCUAGGGCUCUGUGGGCAUAGCUUGAUGGUCACGUAGUUACGGAUGGCGGUUUUUAUAUAGUAGCCGGUCACAGGCGUAGAGACCUCGUUCCAUCGGUUUAUCCGGAAAAGCCCUCAUCUCUUAAGGAAAAGGCGAUUCCACGAGGUCGAAUAGGCAAAGCGUUAUCCCCAUUUUUGAAUUCGAAUAUGCAGUUGAUUAAAUUAAGAAGAAUAUUAUUAUAUAAAAAAACUGAAUUAGAGGUAGAAGCUGCAGCCGGAGCGACAGAAGAUACAGCCAAAGAACCGGAAGAAUAGGAAUAGACUGAUCAGGUCUACGCCGCGCCGGAAACAAUGGAAAGAAUCUGCAACUCGAUCGGGAACUGCACCUCGCACGGCGCCCGCGGAGACGGCAGCAACGAGCUCAGGAAACUGAACAGCGAGGAAAGGGAAGGGAAGGACGGAGGCGGGAAAGGACACGCAAUAGAAAAAUACCAAAUGAAGAAACCUUGGCUAGACGAAGAAAACACAGAAGAUAAAAAGCUAGGCGGCGGACUCCCGCCAAAUAGCUCGCCCUUGUUUUCAGCAUGUUACCUCGCAGUGGAUCGAAGCUGCCAGUGGACUUCUUGGCAUUGCGCAAACAAAACUGCCAACCGAUAACGGCGCUGACACGCGCGCUUUCAAAUUCUGGCCUCGUCAAGCUUGAGCCAACACCUGGCGCGAAGUCACCUAAGCGACCCGACACCUAUUGAUCGAAAAGGAGUUUCACCUUUGUACCCAAGAAAGGCAGAAAGCGUCCGAUCUCUUUCUUUCCAACAACUACUGUACUAUAUUAUACAACAAUUGUUGCCUCGCUUCAUGCGGAAAAACCAGAAUGAACAUCUGUCUUAUCAGACCGCUUGAGAUCCGUUAGGGCGCCACCCCCCGUCACUUGCAGUGGUUAGCUGCACGAGCGGAAUUGAGUCUAUUCCAUGCUUACAGGCGAAUAAGCACCUUCGGGGAGUCGAUUAAGCCUCCCUAGGCUUUGGGCGGUCCAUUCCCUCGACUUUACUACUUACGCUUCUCCUCAACCGGUGCGGCCAAUCGUCCUCUUCCUUCUUCCAUCGCUUCUAUCAUCCGACAUCGAUCUCGGCUCGGCCUCCUUGACAAAGCAAUGUGAACAACGUGCUGAGAUAGGUCUAGAGGUGUCUCAUCCCCCAAAUGACAAGCAAUCCUUAGUGUCAGAAGCAAAGAGUCAACGAAGAGCACUUCUAAGUAUCCCCGCGGCCCGCCGUACAGCUAACCCUGCUCGUCGGGAUCUUUUUUUUUUCCUAUAUUUACAUGCUGCUCUGACCUCACCUCAUUGCGCUCGGGGUAGGGCAUUCGAUUACUCAUUCGCUUUGUUACGAAAGACGUAGAGAGAUGCGAGAUGCGCAGCCUUUGAUCCAAUCCAGCUUCGAGGGCCUUACCAUCCCGGUAAAGGAAUGACAGAUCCAGUUCAUCCUCAUAGCAUAGGAAGGAAUUCUUCGUCUCCCCAUGAGUACUCCCUUUCCGCAAACCCUAAAGCUACUCUUACUAGAGCGCGGUUCCUUUGGCAACUAACACUCGCUACAAAGAUGUAAACUCACGAGCAUUGAUCGUAACGUGAAUCGACGGAUUGGAAAACUUAAAGCUCGGGACAUGAAGCAGCCAAUCAUUCUGAUCCAUGGAUUUGCUUACAUUGAACGGGUAAUCACUUCGCCCAACGGAUGUCUUUCAGUUGGUGAAUAGGCAUCGACCAGUUCAUCAAUCCGAAGAUCGCAAGUCAGUGCAAUCGGGGCUUAUAGUCCGGCGAUUCGUCUUUGCAGAGCUGGCCAACCAGGAAUCAAGAGGUCAUAAUCCAUUGUCGCAUAGAAGGAGAUGUGCCCAAAUAGCAGUCUGUCUCUACAUCGUAGACGGGUUGGGAAGACGGUUAGGAGAAUUGAAAUCCUCCAUACGAUUGCCCUCCGCCCGCAGUACAGUUUAUUCUUUCCAUACGAGAAGGGGCGGUCCAUUGAAGAAAUUGGUAGGAACUGGGGAACUAACUAAACGAGGUGGCACUAUCGAAUUGGAAAACGCAAGGGCUAGACCGCCCGAAACCCUCCGUUCGAAUCAUCCUCGAUUAGUCCUAAGGAGUAACGUUAAACUAUAAGUCAACCCGAAGUGGGCGCAACCAAUCCGAAGGUCGAGGCUGCCGUGAAGCCGGUCGUUUGGGGCAAUCUUUCUAUGAGAUAAGCCGGGCGCGGGUCGAGGGAGCGGGCCCAGAAAAAGCAUCCGAAAGCAAGCCGUGCAAUCCGGGCUUAGGUCUGGUGCACGGUGUUAUCAGAAAGCCCCCCCUGCCGGGUCAUCUUGCAUGAAGGCUACCAUGUAAUGACCUCUUUCUGAAGUUUGCCAGUUUCGGUCGAGGAAGCACCCCUUUAGUGUUUGCUUUGUCCAAAGCAGAGGCUACGUUUCAGUUGAUCGCCGGCAGAGGUCAAUCUAGAGGCAGCAAUCCCUUGUCACAAACAAAGAAGGGAAUAUCUCUGUGCUCCGGGCGGUUUGAGGUCAACAGGCUGGUCUAGCGCGCAAGGGGCGACUGCCCGAAGUUCAACGUUCGUUAGGGAUGAGCUGCUCGGAUUGAGGAUAACCUCAACCCACUAGUCUGACUGUCCGAAAAUCACUUUCGUUAGGAUAGAGGGCCUGCCUCAACCCAGUUUAGGGGCUAGUUGGCAACCUGCACCCUUAGCCAUCAGUCGUACAGUAUAUUCAUUAUAUGUGAAAAAAGGUCGGCGCACCGCACUGGGGCAAGCGAGUCCCGGGUGGGAGACACUAACCAAAGAGCAACCAGUCAUAGGUGCACGCCGAGCUAACAUUCCCUUUGAAAGGAAAUGCGAGCGAUGCCUCGUUGCGCUUGAGGUAGGGCACGCUGAUAUUCUAACUAGGAAAAAAGUCGCGAUGCGAGACACGUAACAACUAGAUCCAAUCCAAAUAAGGGGCCCAACCAUCCCGGUUAAGGAAUGACAGGUCUACGUUCUGGUCCACCCGCACGUGACGGAAUUGUGCAUAGUCCGUAUGUCAUCCCGCUUCCAAACCCCGAUCUUACUCUGUCUGGGGAGCUUCCCUUAACUUUACUACUCGGCGCAAGGAUGAAACUCCGGGGCAUUGAUUCGUAACGCGAAUCGCCGGAUGUGAUUCGAUAGAUGAAUAGGCAUUGAUCAGGCCAUCACUCUGGUCGACGAAAGCAAUUCUGUGCAACGAGGGCUUAAGUCUUUGGAUGUCCGGUAUAGGAAGCAUCUCUUUGGUCUUUGGUUAUCCAGAGCAGUGGUCUUCAGCAUAUAAGUCCAAAAAAGUCUAGCGCAUGUCAUGCUCGUAACUUAGGAAGUAGACUAAACAAAUGGGAGAAGGCGUUGGUGACAAAGCCAUCUCGUCCGUCAAUUAACGAUGAAUAAGCCGUCACUCUCUAGAAGGGCGAGGCAAUCCUUCCAUCUCCAAUCAUGUGGGGGAUGUAAAGACCAAAGUCAAAGUACCGACCCAAACGGGGUAUGGAUAUACAUAGAGGAAGCUAGCAGCGCGUCAGAAAUCCACUUUUCUAAAUAGCUACCCGCCGAAAGGAAUACAGACAAGCAUUGAACCGUAAAGUGGUUCGACUGACGGGGGAUAAGGAGACAUUCAUCUGUAUUGUCAGAACAGAUCAACGGAGGCAUACCGUGCCACCGGGGGUGACGGGAGCGCGCCGUACUGUAUGGAGGAAGGCAAGAUAGCUACCAAUGCCAUCCAGUCGAGCCCCAACCACUGACCUCAACCCGCACUAAAGAAUGCUCGUAUAUAGGAACCGCCCAUGUUAGUCUUUGGCUAUACAGACAGUAGUUAUAAGCAACUAUAAGUAAGCCGAUUUCGCACAUCACAUAACCGAAAGAGGUCGGAGUUCGUGUAACUCAGAAAGUGGGACAAAACAAAUUGAGGAAGGAAGUGGGAGUUCCUUCCGUUUGAAAGAACUUCCUUAUGUUAACAAAGUGGGAGCCGAGUGCUUCGUUUGAUGGAAGCACGAGGUGAGCUUCAAUGCUUUCUUCUCUUCCUUAGCGUUAAGCGUUUGGUGAGAGAGUUGCUUUAACGCGUUAAUAAGGGUUUAUUGCACCCGCCUCAUUCCCUUGACGCGAUCAGGUAAUUUCAUUAAUGUGCUUGGAUUUUUAUUCAUCAGAGGUGCGGGCAGACGGAUAAGGAGAGCAAGUUCGUCCCAUGUCGUUCUUUUCCUUCUUUCUUCGAAGCUUAAAGGUGGAGUCUUUUAGAGUUUUUUUUUAAUAAUACCAAAAUGCUCUGUCGUAAGCCAGCUUUGAAAGCUAUCCAUGAGCCGCAGGAACGGAACAAUUUGCAGUGGUGAAAGCGCGCUACUGAGGCAUCAUCCGAAGCGGGAAGAUUCUCCUUUUCUUUAGAUAAGUUCUAAUAAAAACGGUAGUGAAAGGGUAGUAAGGGAUUUUUUUCAUCGACCUUGUAGUCGUUAUCUCGCCGUAUGAAUUUGUUUGUAAAUGCGGGUUCUUACCCCUUAUUCGUCAGUAUGAGAUUAUUAAGAGUCGCGAAGGAAGGUUCCCCGAAGGGAGCCGGGGUAGGAAGGAAUGUUUAGAGAUGGAGCGAAAGACCGCACUCGAGGCAGAGAGCGCUCGAAGACUUUCCUUCCUUAUUAGGAUGUAGAUCGAGAUCGAGGGUAAGAAGCUCCAACUCAAGUUCGAUAAUGACAUUUUAGCAGCCUGUAACACGUGUUAAACAUGGGCGAUGGGUGGGGAAGAGAAUCGGGAAUGAAGACCACAAGGUAGAAAUUCUCCUUGCCGAAAGAGAUCACUCAGAAGGGCUUAAAUCUAACUCCGAAAAUGGAGAGUUUUGAUCCUGCCUGAGGCAGAAAUGGAGCGAAAGUCACAAUUCCACGAUUAGGGAUCAGGCUUGUCAACGAUCUUUUGUGGGAUCUGGGGAAGCGCUUUUCUUAUUGAAAAAAAUAGGUAAAUCUAAACUUUCGACCCCUGAAUAACCCAUCUUUGGAGGUACACCGGCCGUGCCACAUAAAGCGCUUCAAAAUGGUCAUACUAAAGGAACGGUGGAAGACCUAUUUGAGUGAUCUUUCUUCGAAUCUGCUUCUUCUGAGCCCAGCCACCUUUUGGCUCGCUCUGUAUACUCUACUCGUUCCCUUGCUUUCGUCCUCCCAUUCAUGCAUGAAGUAGAUCCACGAAAAGGACAUCUUCUAACUAGAAAAAGAAGAGUUUUUACCCCUUCCAUCCCCGGGACGGAAAAGCCACGAUUCCGCGGUUAGGAAUCGAGCGUGUUAGCGGUCUUUUCCGGGGCUUGAGAACAAGGGUUUUGAUCCAUCGAUUGAAGAAGAGAAUAGUAGGAAUUUACCCCUCUGGUGUGUAACCAGAUGUUAUUGUAACACUUUCAAAGGGCUUGGUUCCGGCUUAAUCGGACGAAGCGGGCAAGCCAGCCUUAGUAGCACCUAUGCUAGUCCACUACUGAAUGAUUAUGAUACGCCAUCUCGAGAGAUUGUUCUCUACCGGGACUGGCAUUACACACCAGCAGAGAUCGGGGAAGACGUUCCACAGCUGCUUGUGAGCUAGACUUGCCUGUCUGAUCACCUUAUGAGAGAAUCAAUGAGAGUAGCGGAUAGGUAGGCGGCUCAGAAAAGGCAUUUCCCAAGCUUUUUGGGUGCUCCAACUGAUGGUUCUCCCCACCUCUUUCUUUGAAGCAGAAAGGCAAAGAGCUGUUCGCGGUUCCUCUGUGAAAACUCAAAGGAAAUAUAUUCGCAGAAGCUUCAGAGGCCAUACAGCGAAAGAUUCCUUUAAAUAGCUCAUCACGAGAAGUAGUCCUUUGGUUCUAGAUUUGUUGGUCUUCCUUCCCAGAUUCCCUUUCCCGGGCCAGCUCAACUUAGAAGGGCAGUACCCGUGUACUCAACUAUCAAUCUUAGUACAUUUAGCAUAUCAUUUAUUUUGAUAAUGUCGAGGAGGCCAUCGAGUCCAGUAGUCAUUGAUCCGCCCAAACUAGUGUAGUAUUUACAAUUCGCUUGGGAUAACCGCUAGUUACUAUAAGAGAGUAGCAAGGGCAGAGCUGCUCCACCCGAAGCAGGGACAAGGGGCAAACCAACAGCAUAUCUUCCAUCUCGAGAUGGUGAUUUAGAUUCACGAAGCUAUAAGCACCGGAGCGAGCACCAAUAUCACUUGAAUUUGAAGGAGCAGAAAGACCUGGAAAUGUUACAAGUUGAUCUUUUUGCGAAAUACAUUUGAAGGUGGGUCGAUGCCCCUGUGAUUUUGACCAUCGGCAGUCCUGGCCAUGUCAUAAAAGGCAGAAAUGGCUAUGUGAAAUAGAAUAUUUUUCCCCAUUUGAUCUUUUUCGGACCUUCUGACCCCACCCUGAACCGCUCAUAAUCGGUAUCAUACAUAGCCUGUUCCUGGGCCAAUUGAUCCAGUUGGAGCUUAUCGUUUUCCUAUUGAAGAAUCGUUUUUUCCAGUUAAGUUAUUUAUCUAAGGCUCAAGGGCAAGAAAUGGCUCUACCUACUAUACCAACGGAGCAAAGCCCUUUCCAUACGCUAUCGAUUGGUAUAGCUCAGAAUGGUUCUGGAUCGAUUCCACCGGAACUUCAAAACGAUUACUGGCCGAUGUUCCGGUAUGGCGGGUGUAGAAGUAUACCAUUAUAGGGAGCUCCGUCCAUACCAAUGGUGGAGUGAAAAGCUGUCGUGAUUCAUCUCCACCUGCCAACCAUGGGAACUUACUUAUGAAUCUAACUCUUUUGAAUAAACCGUCGGCUCAUGGAGCUACAGGGAAUGAUACUGACAGAGAAGGGUAAACUCCUGCCAUAGUUAUUAUGUCCCCAAACUCGACAGUUUUUUGAUCAUCCCCCCUAGCUCACAUGGAGUAUGUUACGCCUUCCAAUGGAUAAACGUUAGUACCCGUGGAUAGAGAUGUUUUCCCAAUGAUUGAUAGAUAUACCGGGGAGAUAGUUUGGCAAGCAAGAUCUUCUACUGGAAAUGAAGCUGUCUUCUACGGGAGAAACUUCGUCGGAUAGGCCGGAGUGAGGGAGCCCAGUAAUAUAUAUAAUAAAAAAGUAUUAUAUAUAUUAUAAGAUAUAUAUUACUUUAUAAUAUAUAUAUAAUAAUAUAUUUAUAAGAUAUUAUAAGAUAUUAUAAGAUAUUAUAAGAUAUUAUAAGAUAGUUAGUUAAAGAUAAAGAUUACUUAUUACAAAAUUUUUAGUCCCUUCGUUCCCGUCUGAGAGACUGACAUCAGACUUGUAGUCAUUCCGGGAACCUACAAGACCUUGUCGAAGUAGAAAGAUUGUUCCCUCUCUGAACAUGAAUGGCGCUCUAUCUAUUCCUUCAACCCUAUGUUGACUGCUGUCAAGAUUGAUGCAGGAAUGAAAUUAAGAAAAGACCUUUCUCCCGUGUGCCAUGUGCCUUGAAGCUCCAGAGUCUAUGAUCCAGUCCAUGCUAUUUGCGUGAUGGAAAAUAGUAGGAACUGGACGUCGGAAGAAUCCGCAAAUGAAUAUUCUUUAUUUCCUCUCGGACAGGCCCUCUUUUCUCAUUCGAAUGGACAUCUCUUUCGGUAAUGAUCAUCUACAACUGAAAGACUGACGUCUUCCUCUACUCGAUCCUUAGUUAGACUAUCUCCCUCCACCUCGAUUCUUCUGAUCCUCAUAGCCGAACUCCUUUUUUAUUCGCGUCCUCCCCCUGGAUCUAUUCCUGCCGCGUCCACGUCCUCUGCCUCCAGCAACUAGAGCUGCAUCAUCUUGCUCAUUAUUGAGAAUAGGCCUCUCCUCACACCGUACCAGUUCAUCGAUAUGCUUCAUGCAGUUUCAUCUUCCCGUAUGAAUCCUACUUCUUGAGUGUAUAGAUGCAUUUCAAAAUUCAAUCUAUUCCCACGUCACUCUUCUCAUAACAUAUCCUGUUCUCCUAACUUUUAUCCCGGAUUCACCGGUUGAUUUAAGACGGGGUUCUAUGCUUUCUAGCCCCAUUUGACAAAAGUGAGCUUCCCCUAUCUCUUUUGUAGGAAUCAGAUAGCAAUGCUCAUUCAUAAAUAGCUUCCGCAACUUCGUCGGAGAGAUCAAUGGAAACUCAUAAAAGCGGACGGCAUUGUUCAUACGAUCGCCGGAAAAGUCAGUUCUCACGCCGGCUAUUCAAAAAAUAAAGAAAGACUCUUUCAUAAACUUCAUUUUUUCGAGUAUAAUAGCUCUUAUACGCUUGUACAGAGGAGUCUACAACAAUGUCCAUAUAUAGGUGCUUUGUAUCCUACAAAAACAUUAACAUCCUAAGCACCGUAAGCUUGCUUUCUCUCCCGCUGACAGACAAAGAAAAGAUUGAUUUAGACUAGUCUAUGGUAGGCCUACGCUAGGCUUUUGUAUAUAUUUAUUGUAUGAUCGCUUAGCUCUCUCUACUCUUUGCUUAAGCUAUCGUGUCGUGUAGAUGGAUGACAUCUCCCUAUUCCCACAUCCCCGGAUAUGAUUAAUGCAUGGAAACUAAUUAAGCUUCUUCGGCCCAAGAUGCAAUCAUUUGGACUCCAUCCGAAUAUGGGAGUUUCACUCUUAUACGGCUUGGCUCUGGAAAAUUUUCUUGGGCAAAAAAAACAUAAAAAAAAAAAGAAGAGCUUCUUGUUUCCAAGCGGAACUCGAAUGGGCUGCUAGCAGAUUUGUUGGAGAUGGCAAGUUAACACCGUGGGGCCUUUCACUCGCUCUGGCACAUUUUGGCGGAACGUAAACGUUAUAGUAGAAUCUUUGAGGUAAAUGAUGUUUAAAAAAAGAAAAAUGGAAAAGAGGAUUUGCGAAGAUAUGCAGAUUAGAAGCUAGUAUCUCCAGCUUUAUGAGAAAGAAGACGAAGAAUCGGCGAGCAUCCUAGCCAAAUGGGACUUGUGUCUCAAUCCGAUCAAAAAGAAACAUAUUGUGUGUUGACCACCGGGAAAGGAAUGGAUUAAGAUUAAGACGGACGGUUCAAUUAGCGAGCAUGGGAAGGCUUGUGGAGGUUUAGCAAGAGACGACAAAGGGGAUAUAUGCGCUCUCUCAAGCAGUUAAGAACAAGACCAUACUCGAAGUCGAGCUCUUUUGCAUCUUCCAAGGUAUGAAAAUAGCAGCUGAAAAGGAGUGUCAGAGGAUUUGGAUUGAUUCGGAUUCCCUAACGUAAGACAUGGUCUACUCUCAAGAUCCAAAAGUCCGCAGCUAAGGAAAGCCUCUUCUUCAUAAGAUCAAGAAGGUACUCGCUAGUUUCGAAGAUUUGAAAAUCUCCCAUACUUGGAGAGAAGCAAACCAACCGGCCGAUUUUAUGGCAAGCUUUGACUAUGCGGUUGGUAGUAGACAUAUUUGGUCUUCACAUUUUCCCUUCCAUUUUGUAAAGUUAAUUGAAGAGGAUAGAUCCGGGAAAUUGUAAAUACGAAUGUCAAUCUUCAUAUUGAUAAACUAUAUACAUUGGUAGGGGUCGAUCAGGCUAAUCCCAAAGCUUACCCCCGAACAGCUGCCGGACUGCUCUACUGACCUUCUCUCUCUUCGAACUCACUGAACCUUCUCAAAGACUCCUUUUGCACUGAUAACACAAUUCAUCACCGUCCUUCUCACAAGAAGGCAAACCUGGUACGUUGAUCGAAUCUUCUUUC